UACAGAGGUGGCAAGCGUUGUUCGGAUUUACUGGGCGUAAAGGGCGCGUAGGCGGCCUCUGCAAGUCGACUGUGAAAUCUCCGGGCUUAACCCGGAAAGGUCAGCCGAUACUGCAGGGCUAGAGUGCAGAAGGGGCAACUGGAAUUCUCGGUGUAGCGGUGAAAUGCGUAGAUAUCAAGAGGAACACCUGAGGUGAAGACGGGUUGCUGGGCUGACACUGACGCUGAGGCGCGAAAGCCAGGGGAGCAAACGGG
rnacentral:rRNA from 1 species